GUUCGCCACUUCAGCAGCACAUAUACUAAAAUUGGAACGAUACAGAGAAGGUUAGCAUGGCCCCUGCAUAAGGAUGACACACAAAUUCAUGAAGUGUUGUAUAUUUUU
rnacentral:snRNA from 1 species